rnacentral:tRNA from 1 species
GCGUUAGUGGUUCAGUGGUAGAAUUCUCACACUCUAUGCAGGAGACCCAGGUUCUAUUCCUGGCCAAUGCA